AAGAUUAAAGGAACAGCUUAUUGAUAUUGUAUAUGCUCUUGUUUGGAUGUGUGACGGGGAAGACAGCAUUUAACUGCUGGUAUGCAAUGCUGAACCUGGACUGCAUGAAGAGGUUUUCGUUCACUGAUGUUGGAUGUGUGCCCAGACUGCCAUAGUAGAAUUUAGGGAAAACACAGAAAGGAGGAGAGACACAGAAUGGUUUUUGGGAACAUCCAUGUGGGGCAGAAGAAUAAAUACAUGUGAAGACCAUGUUUCCAGAAAUGAAAUGACUGGCCACUGGGCAACAGUUAUGAGUCCCCCAAAUCCCUUCCUGGUCCUCUCCAUUUGCACUUGAAGGCACCAUUCAAAAGUGGACAGCAACAGCAGUGCAGCCCCUUUCUGGACAUCCUUGAAAGACGGCAGUGAAGGAAAUUUCUCCCAGUGGGCAGAACUUCAAACACAGCACCUGGAGACACACUGGCAAAGGAAAUAACCAGAGGUAAGAGUCUAUACAGAUAUAUGAUCUGUGGCCAAUGGUUUGGAAACAAAAUGAUUAUAAAAUUGGUAACAAAGAGGUUUGGGAAAGAGGUAUGUGGAAAAACCUUUUUGAUGGCAAAGAGUGUAAAGAUAUCUGUGUCCCAUAUGAAUGCUAAUCAAAGGGUGACCUCAGCAUAGGAGGAUUUUGAUAAUCAAGUGGACAGGACGGUCUGUUCUCUGGAUACCAGUCAGCUUCUUUCCCCGGCCAGUACUGUCAUUACGGAAUGCGCUCAUGGGCAAAGUGGCCAUGGUGGCAGAGAUGGAGGUUAUGAAAGUGCUCAGUAACAUGGACUUCCACUCACCAAGACUGGACUGACUACAGCCACUGCUGAGUGCCCAGUCUGCUGGAAAACAAACCAAUACCGAGUCCCUGAUACAGCACCAUUCCCAGCAGUGAUCAGCCAGCAAUGUAGUGGUAUGACAGCAUUGGAUUGCGUUUAUCAUGGAAGAGGCAAUGCUUUGUUCUUACUGGAAUGGACACUUACUCUGGGUGUGGAUUUUCCUUCCCUGCAUACAGUGUUUCUGCCAAAACUACCAUCAGUGGACAUACAGAAUGCCUUUUUUGCCAUCACAGUAUUCCAUCUAGCAUUGCUUCUGAUUAAGAAAUUUACUUCAUGCAAAUAAAGUGCAGUAAUGGGUCCACGUUCAUGAAAUUCACUGAUCUUACCAUGUUCCUCAGCAUCCUGAAGUAGCUGCUUCAUAGAAUAUUGGAAUGGCCUUUUGGAAAUUCAGAGACAGCACCAACUACAUGGCGACACCUUCCAGGACUGAAGUACUUUCCUCCAGGAGGCUGUAUGUGCUGUAAAUCUGCAUCUAGUGUAUGGUGCUGCUUCUCCCAUAGCCAGGAUUCAUGGGUCCAGGAAUCAAGGGGUGAAAACGAGAAAAUCAAGGGAUGAAAAUGACUCCACUCACUCUUACUCCUGGGAAGCCACUAUCAGGAGUUUUGCUUGCCAUCCCCCUGAACUUUUGCAUUGUUGAUCUAGAAGUCUUAGUUCCAAAGUUAGGAGUGCUUCUACCAGAAGACAUCACAAUGAUUCCAUUGAUCUGGAAAUUGAAGCUAUUACCUGACCAUUGUAAGCUCCUCAUGUCUCUGAGUUCACAGGCAAAGAAGAGAGUUACUGUACUGGCUGGGAUUAUCAGUCCUAAUCAUCAAGGGGAAAUUAAACUGCUACUCCACAAUGGAGGUAACGGACACUAUGUUUAGAAUGCAGGAGGCCCUUAGGUUGGCAUCUCCUAGUACUCCCAUGUCCUGUGAUUAAAGCCAAUGGAAAACUAUAACAAACCUGAGAGUGGCCCAGACUCUUCAGAAAGGAAGGUUUGGAUCACUCCACCAGGCAAACAACCAUGACCAUCAGAGGUGCUGCUGAAGGAAAAGGGAAUACGGAGUGCCUAGUGGGAGAAGGCAGUUACAAAUAUCAGCUACAAGUGUGUGACCAAUUGCAGAAACAAUGACUGUAAAUGUUGCAAGUUCAGCUGUAUUGUGGAAAAAAGGAUUUAAGCAAAGAUUGAACCUGGUGAAAUGCGGAUAGCUGGUCCACUUGAGGACAUUCCAUUUCUUCGCUUCUCCAAUGGAGCAGGUUUCUGCACGCAGCUCACAUGCUUAUAUGUAUGGUGGCAUUGCCUACUCUCUACCCAGUUGUCCCAUCAACUCCCUACACUCUACACCACUGAAAUCUGUGCAAACAAGAUCAAGCUACUGAUCAUCUUCUGAACAAUGAAUUCUUUUCUGACAGGGAAGGAUUGUUCUGCAACUCAUGCGGAGCACCAAGGGUGCUGGAGACUCAGGUCCAUAGAACCCAGCUUUACCAUACGGAUGUGCAUCAUAACACUGUAUCAUGAUAAUGCAAGACUAAACACCUGACUUGAUGCCCAGGGCAAUGAUGCUGUGUUUAUCAAACAAUAAAACUAUUAUCUUAAAAAUCUGUUUAACUUGAAACCAUCCUAGAUGAUUCAAUACCUCAAGGCUUUCAAGAGAACAAACAUUGUGAACAACGGCUUGACUUUCUUACGAAGAGAAUUAAUUAAAUUGUAAACCAAUUUUUACGCACCCUGAUGAUUUUUUAUGUUGUUUCCUGAGCCGAGUAUCCUUGAGAAAUUCAACAGUGAUAAGUAAAAUUGCAUUGUAACUGCUCAGGAUUUGUUCAACAUUCAGUGUUUAUUGACCAGAAGCAGUUAAAGUGUUUGGGUAAGGAAUAUAGACUCAGAGCAGACUGCCCCAGCUCCAACCCAGCUUCUCCACUUAAUAGCUAUGAAGUUGAGCAAUUUAGUGAACCUCUCAGUGCUUCAGUUUUCUCUAUAAAAUGGGGAUAAUUUGAAUCUAUCUGCAGAUGCCACGUGGGUUAAAUAAGAGCAUAUGGGCUUAUAACAAUGCCUGAAACAUAGCAAGUGCUCUAUAGAUGGUAUCCAUUAAUGUAAGGCCUCCAUAGAACAGACAUUUGACUCAAUAUAGCAAUAUAUUAAAUAUAUUCAUAUAAAUUAAACAUGGUGACUAACUUCAACUAAUUUCCAUCACAGUGGGGACAACAAAACAUGUAUUUAAAACCCACACAUUAUUUAAGGACCAGAUUAAAUGCAUCAAAAUCUUCAUUAAUUCCAUGUUGUUCAAUGUAAUCUUUCCCACAGCAACUUAAAUGUACUUCUCUUUAACAUGUUCUACCAAGUUUUAUAAUUAAUUAUGUACAUGUCUAUUCUUUCCUACCAGAUUCUGAUAUGCUUGAGACAGAUUCACUUCAUCCUCUUUCUGCAUGCCUGGUUGAAUGACUGGCACAUAGUAAAUGCUCAAUAAAUGUUUGAUAAAUGAAUGAAUAACAAUAUAUAAGGCAUUAUAUGGUGACGAAAGCAUCACACAAAAGCAUCACAACUGAAGCACAAUUAAGUACCAUAAACAUUAGCCUUCAUCUACUGCCAUGACAGCUGAAGAGAUCCAGAGAGAUCCACUCCUGAUGUGCAUUCGUAGGGCGAGUUUUACAAAAAACAUGGCACAGGAGGAGGUUCUUAAAUGUUUAAACACAGCACUCAGUCUUAUAGAGGCUCUGCUUCUUUAAUCGGCCCUUUCUAAUCUUCUCUCCUCAUUGUGAAAUUCGGGAAAUAUGUUUCUUUACAUGCCUCCUCAAAUUUACAGAACUGGCCCAAGCAUUGAUUUUCUAGACAUAAUUCACUCCCAUUGCAGAUGUCCUAGGAAAUGGAGAGCUCUAUGACAGAAGUACACAUCAUGUGUCCAAAGUAACUUCAUAAUGGUUUCUGGGUUGUUAAAACAGGAAGAAACCAUUGCCUUUUAGAGGAAAGCUACAGUAAAUGUCACCAUAUGAAUAAACAUUGCAGUGACAUGCUUAAGCCUGGUUUUACUUGUUAUGAUUAUGUUGUCUGACUCUUACCACCAGAAGUGUUUCCCUCAUAUUUUCCUUCACAUUAACAUUUACGAUGGAGGGGCAGCAUUCCCCUUUGCUCACAUUGGCCAAAAUUAGUCCCUUUACACCCAGCAAUAUUUCAACAGUCACAGACCAGUGAGAGACCAGCAUAAACCCAGCUUGCUAUGGGCCUCAGCAUGUUCCACCAGCUUUACUCCAGCCAACAAAACUGCCAUUUGGAAUCCAUCUGCUGCAUUUCACGGACCUAAAUUCUGACCUAGUAGGUAGUCACUGAACUCGAACUGAGCAGAAAGGGCCAGAGGUUCUAAAGGGAAACAUUCUUCAGCGCCACUACAUGUGCCCUAAGACAUGAAACACCUAAGACAGCACCUUGAGGCAUAUUUUUCAGUGCAGAAGUAGCAGAAAACAGAACAUGACUCCCCACCCCUUCUUUAUAUUCCAAUGAGAUUUGCUAGUUUAACCAGAGCUGCAGUACAAAAGCACUUGUGGUUCAUGUUAUAUUAAUAGUGUGGCCUGAUUAUCAAAAACCAUUACUCUUGGUUAUCUUGCAGCGGCUGUACAGAGCUGCUAUAAGUCAGAGUGACUGCCCACACAGUGUUUGCUCCAUGCUUAUGAUAACAGUAUUCUUAAUGCAAAAGUGCAUUUGUAAAAUUAUUGCCUUUUAAAGAUCAGAUCUGUUAUAAAUGAGAUAUGAUCACACAA
rnacentral:lncRNA from 1 species